rnacentral:lncRNA from 1 species
GCGGGAGGGUUGCUCUGGAGGUGUUAGUUUUAAAGUCUCUAUCUUUUAAAUUGUAUCCCAUCAGAGUGAGUUCUAGUAAUGACUCAAGUAGGUGUCCAGAACCGUGGCCGACUCUGGAGAUCCCAAAAUGAACCAAUCAAGGUUCCGGCUCCCAAGGCUUUCUUACCUGGGUGUGUGGACUUGAAGAAACUGUUAAUUUUCGGUCAAUCUGUCCUUUCUGCUUGCC